rnacentral:tRNA from 1 species
GCCCAGACCAUCUCUGGUGCUCCGGGGUGCGGGCUUCAAACCCGUAGCUGACUGACGUCAGAAUGGUUCGAUUUCACCUUCUGGGCG